UACGUAGGGUGCGAGCGUUGUCCGGAAUUAUUGGGCGUAAAGAGCUCGUAGGCGGUUUGUCGCGUCUGCUGUGAAAACUGGGGGCUCAACCCCCAGCCUGCAGUGGGUACGGGCAGACUAGAGUGCGGUAGGGGAGAUUGGAAUUCCUGGUGUAGCGGUGGAAUGCGCAGAUAUCAGGAGGAACACCGAUGGCGAAGGCAGAUCUCUGGGCCGUAACUGACGCUGAGGAGCGAAAGCAUGGGGAGCAAACAGG
rnacentral:rRNA from 1 species